AGUUUAUCAAAUUAAGAUUGGGAUAAUGAGCCGGGCUCGUAUCAUUUGGCAGAAUCAUGGGCAAAACUAAUGUCGAGCAGAACCAAGGAUGGUAUAAAAACAUCCUUGGGCAGAACCCUAGUUGAAGCAAUUCCAACAGGCGGCGAAACAUUCGCAAUUAUGGUUAGCUGGUAAACUGUCGGUUAUAUCCAACGUUGUUUAUAUCUUGUUUCGGCUGUGAUAUCGGAAGAAAAUAUUUAAUGUCAUCGUAAAUGUUACAGAAUGUGAUUUCGUCUAGAUUUAUUGAUUUCUGUUUUGUAACGAAAUAACGACUAAAAGUUGUGACAAUUACUGACACUGAUAAAAUGAAUAUCACGACUAUCAAUAGUGAGUGUUUUUGUAGUAGUGUAUCUUUUAUGGUUUUUCAUCACAAAUUAUGGUACGACCAGAGUUUAAGAAAUGUCACUAGAAAUUCUAUUACUUAUGUCCAUGGGCAUGCUUGGCAGGGGAUAUGGAAAAUAACCAUGAGGGAUUGUCUCCCACAAAUAUUUUGUUUAGAUUUCAUUUAGACUUUAUUAGUAAGAAGAGAGUGAUUGAAUAAAUAAUGGGCAUUCAAAAUAGUGCAAUAUAUGAUGAUACAAAUAUCGAUCUAACCUUUUUAUUGCAAAGUUUAACAAAUAUGUUACACUAAACAGGUAUUUCAGUCCUCUUAUAUCUGACCUUCAUCAAAUGAAUGAGGGACAGGGAAAGAAACGUUUCGUAAUGAACAAUGAUUAAUAGUGAAAAAACAAUGAGUGAGACAAGGGAUUUUAUAAAAGCGAAUGAACUCGAAUUAAGUAGUAAUAACAUAAAUGGUACGAGGUUCAAAAACAGAUGGAUAGCAGAACGUCAAAAGGGAUAUAGAUAUUGGACCUCUUGCUAAGGAAAAAAUAAAGGAUAUUCAGGUUCAUAAAUGAGGGAAAUAUAAAAAUUUUUAUUAUUUAUGAGAAACAAAAAUUAGAAUUCAGAUUGCUGAGUCUUACUGCAAUGCAAAGAAAGGAGAAGUAUGCACAUUCAAAUAAAUAAGUAAAUUAUAAAUAACUAUCUUAACUAACUGCUAAUAAUAAUAAUUGAAAAUAACAGUAAGUGCUGUUAUUUUCAAAAAUUAUAAAUGUUUAUAUAGAACAGAAUUAAAAGGAAUUCAACUGGCUGUGCUCAAGAAUAGUGUAGCAGAUCAGCCUUGUUAUAUUAUAAAGAAUGUAGUAAAAAUCUCAACAUCAUUCUAUUUAUAUGUCUUCUCUAAAUACACGCUUUCUCCUUAGGUUCCUGAAUUUAUUCUGAAACAUGCUUGAAAAUUGCUCUAAUUUGCUUUCCAGUAUGAAACCCCAAAAAUACUUUAUAGUAAACAGAGACCAGGUUCGGGAAACAAAAUAAAAACACAAAAAACAAGCUUCAGAGCCAG
rnacentral:lncRNA from 1 species